rnacentral:rRNA from 1 species
UAGGGAAUCUUCGGCAAUGGGGGGAACCCUGACCGAGCAACGCCGCGUGAGUGAAGAAGGUUUUCGGAUCGUAAAUCUCUGUUGUUAAGGAAGAACGAGUGUGAGAAUGGAAAGUUCAUGCUGUGACGGUACUUAACCAGAAAGGGACGGCUAACUACGUGCCAGCAGCCGCGGUAAUACGUAGGUCCCGAGCGUUGUCCGGAUUUAUUGGGCGUAAAGCGAGCGCAGGCGGUUAGAAAAGUCUGAAGUGAAAGGCAGUGGCUCAACCAUUGUAGGCUUUGGAAACUGUUUAACUUGAGUGCAGAAGGGGAGAGUGGAAUUCCAUGUGUAGCGGUGAAAUGCGUAGAUAUAUGGAGGAACACCGGUGGCGAAAGCGGCUCUCUGGUCUGUAACUGACGCUGAGGCUCGAAAGCGUGGGGAGCGAACAGG